rfam:Lactobacillus algidus DSM 15638 Scaffold12, whole genome shotgun sequence.
GCCGCUUUAGCUCAGCAGGUAGAGCAUCACCAUGGUAAGGUGGGGGUCGCCGGUUCAAAUCCGGCAAGCGGCU